rfam:Capsicum annuum cultivar Zunla-1 chromosome 7, whole genome shotgun sequence
AAUGGCCGGGAUAAAGGGUCGCGAUCCCACGAGGAUGAGCUAACCCCAAAAACCCGUCCUCAGCUCGGAUUGCAGGCUGCAACUCGCCAGCACUUCA